rnacentral:rRNA from 1 species
UACGGAGGUGGCAAGCGUUGUUCGGAUUUACUGGGCGUAAAAGCGCGCGCAGGUGGGGCUGACCAAGUCGGAAGAGAAAUCUCGAAGGCUCAACCUCGAGGCUGCUCCCGAAACUGGUCGCCUAGGGACUGGUAGAGGCUGGUAGAAUUCCCGGUGUAGCGGUGGAAUGCGUAGAGAUCGGGAAAGAAUACCCCGUGGCGAAGGCGGGCUCUCUGGGACGGUAC